rnacentral:rRNA from 1 species
UAGGGAAUCUUCCGCAAUGGGCGAAAGCCUGACGGAGCAACGCCGCGUGAGUGAUGAAGGUCUUCGGAUCGUAAAACUCUGUUAUUAGGGAAGAACAAAUGUGUAAGUAACUAUGCACGUCUUGACGGUACCUAAUCAGAAAGCCACGGCUAACUACGUGCCAGCAGCCGCGGUAAUACGUAGGUGGCAAGCGUUAUCCGGAAUUAUUGGGCGUAAAGCGCGCGUAGGCGGUUUUUUAAGUCUGAUGUGAAAGCCCACGGCUCAACCGUGGAGGGUCAUUGGAAACUGGAAAACUUGAGUGCAGAAGAGGAAAGUGGAAUUCCAGGUGUAGCGGUGAAAUGAGCAGAGAUAUGGAGGAAAACCAGUGGCGAAGGCGACUUUCUGGUCUGUAACUGACGCUGAUGUGCGAAAGCGUGGGGAUCAAACAGG